rnacentral:lncRNA from 1 species
AUGAGGUGUCUAAAUAAAUUUUUAUUAAUCAAUCAACGAAUCCAUUACAAGUUACUAACAAAUAUAAUCCCCAAAAUAAAAAUUAGAUAACUUAAUCUAUUUCAGACACAGGCUUACACAUAAAUCACUAUAAGCAGAUAAAACCUAGCAACAUGUCAUUCUACGAAAGCAAUAAAACCUGAUCAUGCAACGCUAUGCAGAAAAUUAAAGAGAUGGAUAUAUAAGCACACACUAGUGUUUAUAGUGGUUCAACUCGACCUUCGUUUAUUUAUGCCUGAUCCAAUGUCUAAUGGAGAACCAUUGAAAAUUCACAGUCUUUCACUAUUUAACAAUUUUUAAAGCAUGUGUUUGAUAAUGCUGAAAUUAAAACCCAAUUAAAAAGCUCCAAUCUAAAUCUUUCCUUCUUCUGAUGUAUAUAACUCACAAGCAUAAUUCCACAAGACCUCCAUCCAGUCUUGAAUGUCCACCUAGUGAGAUCCAAAAUCUACUCUAAACCUUUGUUAAACAGCAGUCUUCCCUUGACUCUACAGAUCCCAUGUCCGAACUUUGGGUUUAUCUAAAGGAAAAGAAACUCCUAACUUUGUCUAUAGCAACCUUCUCUCAAUUCUACCAAAGUCUUCGAUGGAGAAGAAAUCUUUUCGUUUUGCUCUUGCCGGAUUGUCAAUCUUAGCUACACCAUACAACCUAAUUCUUGAUCUACAAUAAAAAACUUCACAAACAUUAACAAAAAAUGAACCUCAUCUAGAAUAUAAAAAUGCAAUCAAAAAUAAAUUCAUAUGCAAUCGAAAAUUGUGAGAAAAAAUAAAUUGAAAGUUAGUUUCAAGGUUUUUGAAAAUAUUUCAAAGUUAUGAUUUAUUAUUGGGAAAGAGAGAGAGAGAGAGAGAGAGAGAGAGAGAGAGAGAGUUUAAAUUAUCUAUUUGGUGGAGAUUAAGCACUAAAAAUGAGUAAAAAACCCCUCAUUAUAGUCAAAAGCAAAGAUGAUGAAUCACGUCAUAUUAGAGAAUUAUUUGAAUAAAAAAAUUAAAAACGCAUAUCUUGCAUAUUUGAUUCAAGUGGCUGAUUUGAAUAAUUGAUUUGAGUCAAGAAAUUUUAUGAUUCAAAUCACUUUGAC